UCUGACUUCUCAUACUUAACAGCUCUAGUUUUUCCCACACUAGCAACGGCCCAUAGGAGACUAAUUACACUAUAUAUAUUUUUGUUUGGCACCAAACUUGUCCUUGCUAUUGAUAUUUUUGGUCAGGCACAUUUUUGCUAUAAUGUCUGUUUUCUCCCCAAUGCAGUAUGCAGGGACAUCCUGGGAUGAACUAAAACACGUAAGACAGGCUGUCGGAUUCUUGUUGGAGAUGGCGGAAACAUAGAAACAACUGAUGUUGAUCAUGCAGAUGACAAAUGUCCACACAGAAUACUUACCAGAAAUUGUAGUGGCAUGUAGUGCUGGCAACUCAGGUCCAACUCCUUCAACUGUCACUAAUGUGGCUCCAUGGAUCAUCACUGUUGCUGCAAGUAGCAUUGAUAGAGUUUUUCCUUCACCCCUUGUGCUAGGAAAUCAAAUGAAAAUUCAGAUUACUGACAGGUGCGAUUCUUGCUCAUGAGUUAAUGCGUGGGUGGUUAUGCCUUAAAGUCAUAUUCUAGGUAAUUGUUGCUUCUGGAGCUGUGAAGCAUGAGGACCUUGUUGAGCAAGUGAAGAAGUUGUUUACCAAAUUGUCAUCGGAUCCAACCACAACUUCUGAAUUAGUUGCCAAAGGGCCAGCAAUUUUUUCAGGAUUUUUUGUGUUAAAAUCCUUUGGUUUUUUAUUUCUCUUAUUUUUUCUUUUUUUCCUUGGAUCUGACAGUGGGUGUUUUGGUUCACUUCUUAUUUUUUGUAUUAAAUGGGGGAGUGGUGAGAGAGAGA